rnacentral:rRNA from 1 species
AGUGAACGCUGGCGGUAGGCCUAACACAUGCAAGUCGAACGGCAGCACAGUAAGAGCUUGCUCUUACGGGUGGCGAGUGGCGGACGGGUGAGGAAUACAUCGGAAUCUACUUUUUCGUGGGGGAUAACGUAGGGAAACUUACGCUAAUACCGCAUACGACCUACGGGUGAAAGCAGGGGAUCUUCGGACCUUGCGCGAUUGAAUGAGCCGAUAUCGGAUUAGCUAGUUGGCGGGGUAAAGGCCCACCAAGGCGACGAUCCGUAGCUGGUCUGAGAGGAUGAUCAGCCACACUGGAACUGAGACACGGUCCAGACUCCUACGGGAGGCAGCAGUGGGGAAUAUUGGACAAUGGGCGCAAGCCUGAUCCAGCCAUACCGCGUGGGUGAAGAAGGCCUUCGGGUUGUAAAGCCCUUUUGUUGGGAAAGAAAAGCAGCAGGUUAAUACCCCGCCGUUCUGACGGUACCCAAAGAAUAAGCACCGGCUAACUUCGUG